GAGCGGCGGACGGGUGAGUAAUGCCUAGAGAAAUUGCCCUGAUGUGGGGGAUAACCAUUGGAAACGAUGGCUAAUACCGCAUAAUGCCUACGGGCCAAAGAGGGGGACCUUCGGGCCUCUCGCGUCAGGAUAUGCCUAGGUGGGAUUAGCUAGUUGGUGAGGUAAUGGCUCACCAAGGCGACGAUCCCUAUCUGGUCUGAGAGGAUGAUCAGCCACACUGGAACUGAGACACGGUCCAGACUCCUACGGGAGGCAGCAGUGGGGAAUAUUGCACAAUGGGCGCAAGCCUGAUGCAGCCAUGCCGCGUGUGUGAAGAAGGCCUUCGGGUUGUAAAGCACUUUCAGUCGUGAGGAAGGUAGUGUAGUUAAUAGCUGCAUUAUUUGACGUUAGCGACAGAAGAAGCACCGGCUAACUCCGUGCCAGCAGCCGCGGUAAUACGGAGGGUGCGAGCGUUAAUCGGAAUUACUGGGCGUAAAGCGCAUGCACGUGGUUUGUUAAGUCAGAUGUGAAAGCCCGGGGCUCAACCUCGGAAUAGCAUUUGAAACUGGCAGACUAGAGUACUGUAGAGGGGGGUAGAAUUUCAGGUGUAGCGGUGAAAUGCGUAGAGAUCUGAAGGAAUACCGGUGGCGAAGGCGGCCCCCUGGACAGAUACUGACACUCAGAUGCGAAAGCGUGGGGAGCAAACAGGAUUAGAUACCCUGGUAGUCCACGCCGUAAACGAUGUCUACUUGGAGGUUGUGGCCUUGAGCCGUGGCUUUCGGAGCUAACGCGUUAAGUAGACCGCCUGGGGAGUACGGUCGCAAGAUUAAAACUCAAAUGAAUUGACGGGGGCCCGCACAAGCGGUGGAGCAUGUGGUUUAAUUCGAUGCAACGCGAAGAACCUUACCUACUCUUGACAUCCAGAGAACUUUCCAGAGAUGGAUUGGUGCCUUCGGGAACUCUGAGACAGGUGCUGCAUGGCUGUCGUCAGCUCGUGUUGUGAAAUGUUGGGUUAAGUCCCGCAACGAGCGCAACCCUUAUCCUUGUUUGCCAGCGAGUAAUGUCGGGAACUCCAGGGAGACUGCCGGUGAUAAACCGGAGGAAGGUGGGGACGACGUCAAGUCAUCAUGGCCCUUACGAGUAGGGCUACACACGUGCUACAAUGGCGCAUACAGAGGGCAGCAAGCUAGCGAUAGUGAGCGAAUCCCAAAAAGUGCGUCGUAGUCCGGAUUGGAGUCUGCAACUCGACUCCAUGAAGUCGGAAUCGCUAGUAAUCGUGGAUCAGAAUGCCACGGUGAAUACGUUCCCGGGCCUUGUACACACCGCCCGUCACACCAUGGGAGUGGG
rnacentral:rRNA from 1 species